UACGUAGGGGGCGAGCGUUGUCCGGAUUUAUUGGGCGUAAAAGGCUUGUAGGUGGCCACGUCAAGUCGGAUGUGAAAUCUCCCGGCUCAACUGGGAGGGUCAUUCGAUACUGGCGGGCUCGAGGCCGGUAGGGGGAAGCGGAAUUCCCGGUGUAGUGGUGGAAUGCGUAGAUAUCGGGAGGAACACCAGUGGCGAAGGCGGCUUCCUGGACCGGUUCUGACACUGAGGAGCGAAAGCGUGGGGAGCGAUCCG
rnacentral:rRNA from 1 species